UACGUAGGGUGCGAGCGUUAAUCGGAAUUACUGGGCGUAAAGUGUGCGCAGGCGGCAAAGCAAGUCGAGUGUGAAAGCCCCGGGCUUAACUUGGGAAUUGCGCUCGAAACUACUUUGCUGGAGUGUGGCAGAGGAAGGUGGAAUUCCACGUGUAGCGGUGAAAUGACGUAGAGAUGUGGAGGAACACCAAUGGCGAAGGCAGC
rnacentral:rRNA from 1 species